rnacentral:rRNA from 1 species
UUGGAGGGCAAGUCUGGUGCCAGCAGCCGCGGUAAUUCCAGCUCCAAUAACGUAUAUUAAAGUUGUUGCAGUUAAAAAGCUCGUAGUUGAAUUUCGGGGUCAGCAGGUUGGUCGUGCCAAUGGUAUGCACUGGCCUUGCUGAUUCCUCCCUCUUGAUGAGCCGUAAUGUCAUUAAUUUGGUGUUGCGGGGAAUCAGGACUGUUACUUUGAAAAAAUUAGAGUGUUUAAAGCAGGCAAGCGCUUGAAUACAUUAGCAUGGAAUAAUGAAAUAGGACGUUUGAUCCUAUUUUGUUGGUUUCUAGGAUUGACGUAAUGAUUAAUAGGGAUAGUUGGGGGCAUUAGUAUUCAAUUGUCAGAGGUGAAAUUCUUGGAUUUAUUGAAGACUAACUACUGCGAAAGCAUUUGCCAAGGAUGUUUUCAUUAAUCAAGAACGAAAGUUAGGGGAUCGAAGACGAUCAGAUACCGUCGUAGUCUUAACCAUAAACUAUGCCGACUAGGGAUCGGAUGGUGUUAAUUUUUUAAUGACUCAUUCGGCGCCUUACGGGAAAC